GUGGGGAAUAUUGGACAAUGGGCGCAAGCCUGAUCCAGCAAUGCCGCGUGGGUGAAGAAGGUCUUCGGAUCGUAAAGCCCUUUCGACAGGGACGAUGAUGACGGUACCUGUAGAAGAAGCCCCGGCUAACUUCGUGCCAGCAGCCGCGGUAAUACGAAGGGGGCUAGCGUUACUCGGAAUUACUGGGCGUAAAGGGCGCGUAGGCGGCUCUGUUAGUCAGGCGUGAAAUUCCUGGGCUUAACCUGGGGACUGCGCUUGAUACUGCAGGGCUUGAGGCCGAGAGAGGGUGGUGGAAUUCCCAGUGUAGAGGUGAAAUUCGUAGAUAUUGGGAAGAACACCGGUGGUGAAGGCGACCACCUGGCUCGGUUCUGACGCUGAGGCGCGACAGCGUGGGGAGCAAACAGGAUUAGAUACCCCAGUAGUCC
rnacentral:rRNA from 1 species